rnacentral:misc_RNA from 1 species
AAAGCUUGAUGAAAUGUAUGAUCAAGGUAGAUGUUGAAGGACAAUCUAUCCCAAUAACUCAAGCUGAAGAAGUCCUAAAUUGACAAAUAAAGAAUGUAGCAGUCCAGAACAAGACAAUGCAAUGCAUUGACUCAAAGAUAGAUCAAGUUCUUCAUAGAACUCAUACCAUUGAUCAAAAGGUGGAUUCUUUUACUUUGUUUGCCUAGAAUAUGUAUAGAGAACUCCAAACCAAGAUCACACAGCUGGACAAAAAU